rnacentral:rRNA from 1 species
UAUGUGAUCGUCUCUCGCAUAUCAAUAAGCGGAGGAAAAGAAACUAACAAGGAUUCCCCUAGUAACGGCGAGUGAAGCGGGAAGAGCUCAAAUUUGAAAUCUUAAAGGGUUUCCCUUUACGAAUUGUAGUCUAAAGAAGUGUUUUCUGUUGAGGUUUUGGUAAAAGUUCUUUGGAAUAGGACAUCAUAGAGGGUGAGAAUCCCGUAUUUGACCUUUACUUUCAACUUUGUGAUACACUUUCAAAGAGUCGGAUUGUUUGGGAAUGCAGUCCAAAAUGGGUGGUAAAUUUCAUCUAAAGCUAAAUAUUGGCGAGAGACCGAUAGCGAACAAGUACCGUGAGGGAAAGAUGAAAAGAACUUUGAAAAGAGAGUUAAACAGUACGUGAAAUUGUCAAAAGGGAAGCGUUUGACACCAGUGUUGUUUUUCUGAAAAUCAAUUAAAGAACUGUUUAUGCUAAGUUGUUUAGACUUUAUCAGCUAUCUGUUUAGUUUUGAGCUUUUCUUUAAUGCACUUUUCAGUUAACAAGUCAACAUCAAUUUCUUUUGCUGUAAAAAAGCUUGAGGAAGGUGGCUUGAGAUUCGUCUUAAGUGUUUAUAGCCUCUUGCCUAUGCAGUCGGAGAGAUUGAGGUCUGCAGCGUAGAUCCUUCGGGGCUAAAUGCAUUUGUGCUAAGUUAUAGCAUUUUAUAGACAACUUGUUGACUAUGAUUUGUCUUGUAGCUUACUCGCUUAUGUUAUUUUACCUACGCUUAGGAUGUUGACACACGCGCGUGCUCGAUGAUAGUCUAUACAUGACUCUGUGCAUAUCAAUAAGCGGAGGAAAAGAAGGGCUAUUACCUACGCUUAGGAUGUUGAUCUACAGAGCGAGAGU